UACAGAGGGUGCGAGCGUUAAUCGGAAUUACUGGGCGUAAAGGGUGCGUAGGUGGUUAGAGAAGUUGGGCGUGAAAUCCCCGGGCUUAACCUGGGAACUGCGUUCAAUACUGGCUAGCUAGAGUAUGGUAGAGGUAAGUGGAAUUUCAGGUGUAGCGGUGAAAUGCGUUGAUAUCAGGAGGAACACCAAUGGCGAAGGCAGGUUACUGGGCAUUAUCUGACGCUGAGGAGCGAAAGCGUGGGUAGCAAACAGG
rnacentral:rRNA from 1 species